rnacentral:lncRNA from 1 species
GGAGGAACCGGCACAGUCCUCACAGAAAUCGGCAUUACUUUUGUAAUGGCUAGCAUCGCAAUUUGGACACUUUUGUAAUCCCGCAUACUGACCGCGGUACAAUAUGCAGUGGUUCCUGCAUGCAUAUAUUCUUUGCACACGCAUAUACAAUGGAUUGAUAAUCUUUUUUGCUUCAUAUGUAUUUUUUGGCACAAUGUUAGGCUUCGGCAACAAAUUGCCCAGCAAAGUAACGAGAUCAUUGAAACUAUUAUCUGGCCAGCCAAAUUUAACCUUCAGAAUCAGAAGAUGAGGAUGAAACGCAACACUGUCCACUCCUUCCCACAUCCCACAUACAUACGGUCCUUUGCUACCUUCUUGAGUGUCUCAAAUUUCUCUAACCAUUUAGCACUCCCUAGCAACACUUUCGAUUCAAUGUGGCGCAACAUAUCCUCCAUAUCAACAUCACAUUCCUCGUCCACCUGUGGUUCCAAAUGCGCAUGUGUUUGAUCACCAUUUUGAUCUCCAUGGUCAUAAUCAUCAUCCAUCAUAUCAUGAUCAUUUUUGUUUGCAUCAUCACCACCCACUUCAUCAUUUUCGAUGUCUGUGUUGUUGAAAGUACCUCCUAUCUCACCAUGGUGGGAUCAAAUUAUGUAUCCAUCCACAAACCCUCGCUUUAUCAAAUGCCUCUUGAUGACAUCAG